AGGUUUCAUUAUUUCGGGUCAAAUGGUACUUUACCAUUUCCUUGAGUAUAUAUCAUAUAUAUACACUCAUUGUAGUCAUAAGGUUUUUCAUUCUUAGUUCUUUCGAAUUAAGAGGUGCAACUCUAUGACAUAGUCAUAAAGUUCAAACCAUUCAACUGAGACGGUUUAUAAAUCCUUCUCGACUACCUUGGAGCUUUUGGUAUAGGAACUAGGUUGUUAUAUUUGUUGAUUAUUAUCUUGUCUCUCAAAGAACCAUUCUUUGAGUUCUAUCCCUUGUUCAUUUGCUCUUAGGCAAAUCACAUUGUAGGAUUACAAUGAACUACCCAACAAAACAACAUUUGUUAGUUGGUUUAUAGAAGCGAUAUCCAAAAGUUAAUUUAAGGAUAUCCCACAAGAUUGUUAUCAAACAAAUAUUGUUUAUUAGCUCACAACCCCAAAUCUUAACAUGUUUUAAGAUUUGUCUUUCUUUCCAACUACAUCUUAUGGAGUCAUGAAAAUAUUGGAAGAUCUUCUCAUUGACAAUCAUAUUGUUUUAGAAGUAUAUAUCCUAUAUAUGGGUAAUAGAUAACAUCUAACGAACUAAAUCUUAUUCGAGUUCGUUCUUCUCCUAAUGGAGAAUUACAUUAUCUUAUGAUGCUUAUUUCCUUGAUAUCUUUCAAGGAAACUGUUCUAAAGUGUUACCUUUAUCUUGGAUCAAAUCUAAGGAGGUAAAUACUUUAGACGUCUUACUCAUCAACUUACAUUUCUUGAAUUCUUUGAAACCUUUUACAAAGUAUUCGAACUUGUGUUUAUUCAAAAUAAACUAUAGUCCAACCGAGAGUGAUCUUCGGUGAAUGUCAUAUAACAUGAGUAGUAUUAUGUUUGUGGACAAGUGCCACUAACAUCUAAGUGAAUUAACCUCAACAACUUUGUGAUUCUUUCUUCUUUCCAAAAGAAUAAAGAUUCGAACAUUUCGCCUCUAUACAAUUUUAACAAGAAGGUAUUGGAUCCGGAUCUAACGAUCCAAAGCGUCCAUCUAUGACCAACUCGUAAUUUAUGUUUUAGAGGUAUCACAACUUUAGUUGGGAUUAGUCACUACCUUGCAACCUUUUGGGUUUUAAGCAUAAUUAUUUUCUAAACAGUUAACACUACCAUAUUAUCUCUACUAUAGAGAUAAUUAAUUAGAUUACAAUAAUCUAAUCAUUCAUUAAUAAAGAACAAUGUUUUGUCAAACAAAACAUUUAUCCAUUUCACAUAGUGACGGAAUUUAGUUCCUUAAAAUUGGAAUAUAAAGACAAUCUACGUUUUUCCAAUUUCUUUGGUAGUUCAUAUGAGGAAGUAAGUACCAUCUGCUUUCGCAGAGAUCUACAUUUGAUUCACGUUUCGAAUGUGAAGUACUUUCUCUUCUCUCAUUAAUCUUCUACUUCUUAUUAGCUACACUUUUACAACGAUUGUAAAACAUAGUUACUAAUACGGAAUCAAGCAUUCAAGUAGAAGAACCAACU
rnacentral:lncRNA from 1 species